CGGGGCGUAGCGUAGUGGUAUCGCGCAAGUCUGGGGGACUUGAGGUCGUGGGUUCAAUUCCCGCCGCUCCGACCA
rnacentral:tRNA from 1 species